CCCUUAGAUGUUCUGGGCCGCACGCGCGCUACAAUGAUGCAGGCAACGAGUGCCGCUCCUUCGCCGAAAGGCUUGGGGAAUCUUGAAAACUGCAUCGUGCUAGGGAUAGAUGAUUGCAAUCGUGCAUCUUGAACGAGGAAUGCCUUGUAAGCGUGAGUCAUCAACUCGCGCUGAAUACGUCCCUGCCCUUUGUACACACCGCCCGUCGCUCCUACCGAUUGGAUGGUCCGGUGAACUGGUCGGACUGCUGUUUGAAAUUGCGGGUGCAGUUGAUUCACGGGAAGUCUAGUAAACCUUAUCAUCUAGAGGAAGGAGAAGUCGUAACA
rnacentral:rRNA from 1 species